GAAGCCUCUGGAGUCCACAAUUCGUGAACAGAAAGAGGCUGCAUCCCCUGUUACUCCCCUUGGAGAAACGACAAGCAACUAUUACAAGAGAGGGCCUCUUCCUCAGAGUGAAGGUCCCUAAGUGGUGCAAACUUGGAUACUAACUGAAGGGCUGGUUGUUGGAACCCACACAGCAACACGACGGCAGAAAGGCCUGGUGAAGGUCUGCCGUAAAGAUAACCACCAAGAAGACCCUCUGGACUUCAUUCUACUUUUUGACACAUAGGAUCACCAUGUCCAGAUCAACUUGGCUUGAUUUAAUUUUCACUGUUUGUGUCUUGUUUAAGAAAUCUGCCCUUACCCCAAGGUUGAAAAUAUAUUUACCUACUACAGUGA